AGCUUUCACCGUUAGAAUUUUUCAAUCCUUGACCAACCGGAUUUCAACAUCAACCAAAACGAGGGAUCGACACAUCAGCUCUUACGUAAUCUCCUCGUUCUUUUGUCUUGCUUUUCGUCAUUUGAGGUCAGACGGUGCAUCGAAUCAAACGGUUUACGUAGUGUUUGCUUUUUCUUCUGCGGUGCUCCAGGAUCGGUAUCGAGACUUCAUUAAGUUUCCUGAGAUGGGUUGUUUGGAUCUGGUCCGAUCGAUUUUGAUAUUCAAGAUAUGAAAGUGAGGUCUUUUGACGAACGGUGAUUGCAAAAGAAAUCACGGAAACUGCUGAUCAG
rnacentral:lncRNA from 1 species